rnacentral:tRNA from 1 species
CGUUAGGAAGCUAAACAGGGUUUAAGCAUUAGUCUUUUAAGCUAAACAUGGUGACUCCCAACCACCCCUAGCGA